ensembl:snRNA U2 U2 spliceosomal RNA
AUCAAUUCUAGGCCUUUUGGCUAAAAUGAAGUGUGGUAUCUGUUCUUAUCAGUUUAAUAUCUAUGUCCUUUACCUGAGGACAACGUAUUACAUUGAGUUUUGGAACAAGGAGAUAGAAUAGGAGCUUGUUUUGUCAGCUCCAUGCAUCAACCUGGCAUUGCAGUACUUCUAGGAAUAGUGUACCCCUU